ACCCUGCUCAAAAUUCCUGAAAUUGAAAUUGCUGACAAAAUUUGCCUCUUCCAUCAUCAUCGGAUUUUUCACAGCUGACUCCAUCUUAGCAAUAUUCAAAGCAUUUAUCUUGGAAGACAAUGCAGCGAUUUGAGUGGCUAACAAAGUAACUGAAUCAGAAUUUGUGGUGGCAGCAACAUUAUCCAAAUAUACCCUCUCGGCUGGCCAUUGAUAGCAUGUAGUGCCCAUGCUAUCAAAAAUCUCCAUAGCUGCUCAUGUACUACCUGGAAAAACUCCAUAACCAAAAAAUAAGAACCA
rnacentral:lncRNA from 1 species